AAAAGAAACCAACAGGGAUUGCCUCAGUAACGGCGAGUGAAGCGGCAAAAGCUCAAAUUUGAAAUCUAGCACUUUCAGUGUUCGAGUUGUAAUUUGAAGAAGGUAACUUUGGUUUUGGCUCUUGUCUAUGUUCCUUGGAACAGGACGUCACAGAGGGUGAGAAUCCCGUGCGAUGAGAUGCCCAAUUCCAUGUAAAGUGCUUUCGAAGAGGUCGAGUUGUUUGGGAAUGCAGCUCUAAGUGGGUGGUAAAUUCCAUCUAAAGCUAAAUAUUGGCGAGAGACCGAUAGCGAACAAGUACAGUGAUGGAAAGAUGAAAAGAACUUUGAAAAGAGAGUGAAAAAGUACGUGAAAUUGUUGAAAGGGAAGGGCUUGAGAUCAGACUUGGUAUUUUGCGUUCCCUUCCUUUUUGGUUGGGUUCCUCGCAGUUUACUGGGCCAGCAUCGGUUUGGAUGGUAGGAUGAAUGACAUUGGAAUGUAGCUUUACUUCGGUGAAGUGUUAUAGACUUUGUUGAUACUGCCUAUCUAGACCGAGGACUGCGUCUUUGACUAGGAUGCUGGCGUAAUGAUCUUAAGCCGCCC
rnacentral:rRNA from 1 species